CGUGGGUAACCUGCCCAAGAGACUGGGAUAACACCUGGAAACAGAUGCUAAUACCGGAUAACAACACUAGACGCAUGUCUAGAGUUUAAAAGAUGGUUCUGCUAUCACUCUUGGAUGGACCUGCGGUGCAUUAGCUAGUUGGUAAGGUAACGGCUUACCAAGGCAAUGAUGCAUAGCCGAGUUGAGAGACUGAUGGCCACAUUGGGACUGAGACACGGCCAAACUCCUACGGGAGGCAGCAGG
rnacentral:rRNA from 1 species